UACGUAGGGUGCAAGCGUUGUCCGGAAUUAUUGGGCGUAAAGAGCUUGUAGGCGGUUUGUCGCGUCUGCUGUGAAAUUUCGGGGCUCAACCCCGAACUUGCAGUGGGUACGGGCAGACUAGAGUGUGGUAGGGGAGACUGGAAUUCCUGGUGUAGCGGUGAAAUGCGCAGAUAUCGGGAGGAACACCGGUGGCGAAGGCGGUUCUCUGGGCCUUACCUGACGCUGAGGAACGAAAGCCAGGGGAGCGAACGGGG
rnacentral:rRNA from 1 species